CACACACACACCCAGAUCCGAGAGAAUGAGUGAACCAGAGGGAGGAGAGGAGGAAGACAGAGAUGAGAGCACGAGCGAGAGAACAGAGAGUGAGAGGGGGUCACCGCCGCAACGCCGCUACAGCUGCCGCCAUCGCCGUCGUGGAGGAGGGAAGGAAGAUUCAUAGA